rnacentral:rRNA from 1 species
GGUCAAAGUAAUAAGAGUCUAUGGUGAAUGCCUAGGAGCUUUAAGGCGAAGAAGGUCGUGGUAAGCUGCGAAAAGCUUGGGGGAGAAGCAAACAUUUAUUGAUCCCAAGAUUACCGAAUGGAGUAAUCCAGCUAGCAAGAUGCUAGCUAUCUAUUAUCUAAAUAAUAGAGGCGAUACCAGGGGAAGUGAACCAUCUAAGUACCCUGAGGAAAAGAAAUCAAAGAGAUUCCCUUAGUAGUGGCGAGCGAAAAGGGAGUAGCCCAAACUUUAAAUGUGUCAAGCUGC